CGUUGAAACACCGGUUCACAUCCGAGCACCGAAGUUAAGCAACGUCAAGCCUGGUCAGUAUCUAGAUGGAUGGCCGCUUUGGAAUACCAGGUGCUGCUU